UUAUUUUGGCAGAUUAGUGUAUUUGAUUUAGAAUCAUUUUAAGUGAAUUUUUUCACAAGUAAUAN
rnacentral:tRNA from 1 species